rnacentral:rRNA from 1 species
GACGAACGCUGGCGGCGUGCUUAACACAUGCAAGUCGAACGGAAAGGCCCUGCUUUUGUGGGGUGCUCGAGUGGCGAACGGGUGAGUAACACGUGAGUAACCUGCCCUUGACUUUGGUAUAACUUCAGGAAACUGGGGCUAAUACCGGAUAGGAGCUCCUGCUGCAUGGUGGGGGUUGGAAAGUUUCGGCGGUUGGGGAUGGACUCGCGGCUUAUCAGCUUGUUGGUGGGGUAGUGGCUUACCAAGGCUUUGACGGGUAGCCGGCCUGAGAGGGUGACCGGCCACAUUGGGACUGAGAUACGGCACAGACUCCUACGGGAGGCAGCAGUGGGGAAUAUUGCACAAUGGGCGGAAGCCUGAUGCAGCAACGCCGCGUGCGGGAUGACGGCCUUCGGGUUGUAAACCGCUUUCGCCUGUGACGAAGCGUGAGUGACGGUAAUGGGUAAAGAAGCACCGGCUAACUACGUG